rnacentral:rRNA from 1 species
GGGCCCGCACAAGCGGUGGAGUAUGUGGUUUAAUUCGAUGCAACGCGAAGAACCUUACCAGGGUUUGACAUCCUGCGAAUCUCUUGGAAACGAGAGAGUGCCUUCGGGAACGCAGUGACAGGUGGUGCAUGGCUGUCGUCAGCUCGUGUCGUGAGAUGUUGGGUUAAGUCCUAUAACGAGCGCAACCCCUGUUGUUAGUUGCCAGCGAGUAAUGUCGGGAACUCUAACAAGACUGCCGGUGCAAACCGUGAGGAAGGUGGGGAUGACGUCAAAUCAUCACGGCCCUUACGUCCUGGCUACACACGUGCUACAAUGGUCGGUACAGAGAGCAGCCAACUUGCGAGAGUGAG